rnacentral:lncRNA from 1 species
CUCAAAUUGAAAUCCAUUUUCCACAAAAGCUUCCUCGCUUCUAUCUGAGUGAUUGAGUGGGGGAAAAAAUGAAAAGUAAGGGCAAAGAUUUUGUGACUUGUGAGCCAAACCCCAUCAACUCUCUGUGUGCCUCCAUUCUCUACAGAACGCCAAUAUGGUAAUUUUUUUUAUAUUUUUAUUCUCUACGGAUACAAAUGUAUUUAUUGUAAUUUUUAAUGGAUGGCGAUCUACUAUGAUUUCAUUUUGAGAAAAAUAUUACACCAUGAUUCUUUUGGUUGUGAAAAUUAGAAAUCUUGAAAGCUUUUAAAAUACAAAAAAGGAACAAAUCUUGCAUUUAAAUCUAAUUAAUUUUCGUAUAGCUAUUUGGAUGCCGAUAAAUUAUCUGAGAAUGAUCUUCAAGGAUUUUCCUCGUUAAUAAUUGAUGAAUUAUCUGAAACUAUUGUUUUCGAUUUCUACAUAGUGUGUUUAUUUUAUAUAUAUAUAUAUAUGCAGUCACAGAAGUGUGGGGGAUUUAGAUGUUCAGAAAAGGAAUAAGAGAAACUAAAAAUGUUAAUUGCAAUGUAGGUGAAAUUUGACAUUGAAUUUUUUGCAUAAAAAGAUUUUUUAAUUUUUUUGGGAAAUAUUUCUUGCAUAAGUUGCUUUGUUGGUAGCACUGAGUCUGAAUGCAGGUAUUGUAAUUAUAAGAUUAUAACCGUUGUCAUAUUCAUUUAAUCGGUCGUGAUUAAUGACCCUUUGAGGCUCAUAUCUAAUAUCUGUAAACUGUGAAGAAAACUAUAGAUAAAUGAUAUCAGUUACUUCUAAGAUGCAAAAGGAAACUAANUUCUAAAAGGGUUUUUGUUUUCUUUAAUUAUUCUUGGCUAUAUGUGUUAUUUCUUUGUUAUUAUUAUCUUGAUGUCAUAGGAUUCUUUAUCCUCUUUUUGGUUGUAAUCCCGCUUAUAAAAAUUAAUAAAUUUGUGUAUCUUAUUGGAAAAAGUUCCCCUGUUUAACUUUUGAGAUGAACCUCGAUAAAGCACUGUGAAAGAGCUUUCAGGUAGCCAGGGACUAAAUAUGGAUAAGACUUUGUUGAGUUACAUUGAGAAGUUGAAGGAUACUAAAAUUAUUGGAACAAUUCUCAUAUUCUUGACAUGAAUUAGAAGUGAGAAUUUGGUGAUUCAGUAAAAUAUCAUUCCUUGUGCUCUCAAAGAUGAUUGAGUUGUUGUUGAUGUUAUAAUAUAAUUUCCCUGACUCGGUCGCUUCAUGGCUUCAAACUGGAAGCAACAUUAAGUUCACUGUCUGGCUACCAGUGGGCACAUGUUUGCAUGUAUGUGUUUUGGCCUUUGUUAUAUUGCUGCAAGAUGUUUAUUAAAAAAAACUUAUCUUAGAUAUUGCUGCAAGAUGGUUAUUAAAAAAAACUUAUUCAGAUGCGAAGUUCUUUUAUAUAUAUUGGAUAAAUAUUUUGUACUUAUCUAUGCAGCAGAAUUUAUUUUUUUCAAUUUGUUCUUCUCAGUACAGACCUUAUGGCUGAACUUGAUCCUAGUUUAAAUGAAAGUGAACUAGCACAUGAAGGAAGGUUGAUGGGUAGAUCCAGAAUACAUUUUGCUUGAACUUCUGAUUUCAAUCUUGUAAAGACAUUGUGGAAUUCUCGAAGGUGUAACUCCACAAUUUUUGUAGAUAUUUUACCUCUCAAGUAAGUAAUGGCUUGCCUUAACUUGUUAUGGAAGAGAUUGAAAAUGUUUGAAGCCUUGUCGGCUUAUAUAAUUGCAGCCUGGUCAGCUUAUAUGAUUGCUAAUUAUACGAUGAACAAUUGUACAUGCGCACGUAGUAACUAUAUUCGAAACUAUAAUUGUGAGAUGAUUUGAGAUAUUUUGUAAUUGUUUUCUAGGUUAAUCAUUGGGUAUCAGAUAUAGACUCAUACACCAUGCCUUCUAAAUAUGAUGCUGGUGCUCAAAAGAGGAAAAGGAAACGAAAUGAAACAGCAUUAAUUCAAAGUCAAGCAGGGGAUAUUGGCAAGUACUUUAAAAGCAACAAUGUGAAUACAUUGAAUGAGGAUGAAGUAGAGAUUCAACCUGCAUGUAUUAAUGAAGUAGAUGAUAAGGAUGAAAAAGUGAGUCAACCUGCUUACAUUAAUGUAGUAGAUGAUAAGGAAGAAGAGGUGAUGAAACCUGCAUGUGUUAAUGAAGUAGAUGACAAGGAAGAAGAGGGUUGCUUUUCUCUAAAUUUGGAAGAUCCCGGGAAUUGGAAAAUCAUUGAUCAGAGAACAAGGGAUUACUUAUUUGAAAGUGGUCCAAAAAAGAGUUGAUGAUAUCUCGUUUCCGAAAGAUUGUACAAAUAGGCAUUUUGAUUCUUCACAAUAUAAGCGAUUGCUACGAAAUGGGCAAACAAUUGAUAGAAGAUGGCUAGUAUAUUCAAUAUCUAUGGACAUGAUCUUUUGCUUUUAUUGCAAGUUCUUUAAAACACCCAAAAUGUUACCAGAGUUGGCCAACUUGGUAACGACGGAUUCAAAGAUUAGCAUAAUUUGCAUUGGUCUAUUAAAAGUCAUAAAGGAAAUGAAAAGCAUUUAUGUUGUAUGACUAGGUGGAUAGAAUUGGAAAACUACAAUUGAUAAAAGCGUUGAAUUGUUGAUCGAUGCGGAAAGAGAACAUUGGAGGCAUGUAUUAACAAGGAUAAUCGCUAUUGUAAAAAGACUCGCCAAAAACACCUUACCAUUUCGAGGAGAUGAUGAGAGGCUAAAUGUUGAGAACAAUGGUCUGUUUUUACAAAUGGUGAAAAUGAUUAGUGAAUUUGAUCCAAUAAUGAAAGAGCACCUUCAGCGGGCUAAUGCAAAAGAGAUUUAAUAUACGUAUCUUGGCAAAAAAAUUCAAAAUUAGUUGAUACAGUUGUUGGCUAAUGAGGUGAGAAGUGCAAUUGUCAAGAAAGUUAAACAUGCAAAAUAUUUCAUAGUUAUACUUGAUUGUACUCCAGAUGCAAGUCAUGAGGAGCAUAUGUUGUUAAUAGUACGAUUUGUAGAUGACUCGACAAACUUACCUACAGUUAAAGAACAUUGGCUUGAAUUUUUGAAGGUAGAUGACACAACAGGACUUGGACUUACAACUGAGCUUCAAAAGGCUUUGAUCAAACUUGAUCUGGAUAUUGAUGACAUUAGAGGGCAAGGGUAUGAUAACGAAUCUAAUAUGAGCGGGAAGCACAAAGGUGUGCAAAGAAGAGUACAUGAAAUGAAUCCCCGAGCUUUCUAUACUCCAUGUGGCAUUCAUAGUCUAAAUCUAGCGUUAUGUGAUAUGGUGAAUUGUUGUUCCAAAACUGUAGCCUUCUUUGGAGUGAUACAAUGCAUCUACACUUUGUUUUCAUCUUCUACCAAGCGAUGGCAAAUUUUUAAAGAUAAUGUAAAAAAGUUGAUAGUGAAGCCGUUGUCACAAACACGUUGGGAAAGUCAUGUUGAGAGUGUGAAACCUAUAAUGGAGCAAACUGCACAGAUAAGAGAAGCAUUACUUGAUUUGGCAAAAACUAACGAAGACCCUAAAGUAAAUAGUGAAGCCAAGUCAUUGGCAACACAUGAACUUCAGAGUUUUGAGUUCUUGCUUGGCAUGGUAAUCUGGUACAGGUUGUUGCAUGCGGCAAUAUUGUGAGUAAAUUUCUUCAAACCGAAUCCAUGUAUAUUAAUCAUGCUAUCAACCUAUUGCAAGGACUUGUUUCAUUUCUUGAAGAAUAUAGAGAAAUUGAAUUUGCCAUUGCCAUGGAUGAAGCGACAAAAAAGGCAAACGAAAUGGGAGUUGAAGCUGUAUUUACAGAAAAACGCACAAUUUGAAGGAAAAAGGCAAUUUAAUGAAAACUGUAGUAAUGAGGUAAAGCAAUUAGUAGAAGAAUCAUUUAGAGUUGAGUACUUUGUUUUUAUAAUUGAUCAAGCUCUAUCUUCUCUAAGGACUCGAUUUGAAUAAUUCAAACAAUAUGAUGAUAUAUUUCGAUUUUUGUUUAAUUUGAAAAGGUUAAAGAGUGCAACUUUAUCAAGUUUGUUGAACUCUUGUAUGAAUCUUGAGAAAUAUCUUGAACAUGAUGGGCUUUUGGACAUCAGUGGAGAUGAUUUAUGUUCGGAGUUACAAGUCUUGAAAAUUUAUUUAUCAAAUGAAGCAACAAGAGCAAUUGAAGUGCUACACUAUUUGAAGACAUUGGAUGUUUGUUUCCCAAAUGCUUAUAUUGCUUACAAAAUUUUGUUAACCGUACCGAUUAUAGUUGCAUCUGUGGAAAGAAGUUUCUCGAAUUUGAAGUUGAUCAAGACCUAUCUCCAAUCAACUAUGUCACAAGAAAGAUUAAACAGGUUGGCUAUGUUAUCAAUAGAAAAAGAAAUGGUUGAGCAGCUAAGUUAUUCAGAUUUGAUUGAUAUUUUUGCCUCUAAAACAGCAAGACGA